UACGGAGGAUCCGAGCGUUAUCCGGAUUUAUUGGGUUUAAAGGGUGCGCAGGCGGAAUAUUAAGUCGGCGGUGAAAGUUUGCAGCUUAACUGUAAAAUUGCCGUUGAUACUGGUAUUCUUGAGUGUAUAUGAAGUAGGCGGAAUUUGUAGUGUAGCGGUGAAAUGCAUAGAUAUUACAAGGAACUCCAAUUGCGAAGGCAGCUUACUAAAUUACAACUGACGCUUAGGCACGAAGGCGUGGGUAUCAAACAGG
rnacentral:rRNA from 1 species